UACGUAGGGUGCGAGCGUUAAUCGGAAUUACUGGGCGUAAAGCGUGCGCAGGCGGUCUGUUAAGACCGAUGUGAAAUCCCCGGGCUUAACCUGGGAACUGCAUUGGUGACUGGCAGGCUUUGAGUGUGGCAGAGGGAGGUAGAAUUCCACGUGUAGCAGUGAAACGCGUAGAGAUGUGGAGGAAUACCGAUGGCGAAGGCAGCCUCCUGGGCCAACACUGACGCUCAUGCACGAAAGCGUGGGGAGCAAACAGG
rnacentral:rRNA from 1 species